rnacentral:piRNA from 1 species
CACUAUGAACAAGAGGGUC